rnacentral:rRNA from 1 species
UGUCGUAACAAGGUUUCCGUAGGUGAACCUGCGGAAGGAUCAUUACUGUGAUUAAACAACCACGUGCAUUGCUUUUGUAUGUCUGCCACAUCUCUUGCUUUAUGGCUUGAGAGGUUGCUCUGUACGGUGCAUCUCUUUCGGGAGUUGGUUCCGUAUGGGCGGACAGAUUUCUUCGGAAGUCUGUUGGCUUUCACAUCAAUACACACCUUAAAAUUGUCGAGAAAUUCUGUUUUGAACUGUUCUUACUGCACUUUGGUGUGGUUUGAGCGCGUAAACUUUUACAACCCUCAACAACGGAUAUCUUGGCUCUCGCAACGAUGAAGAACGCAGCGAAAUGCGAUACGUAGUGCGAAUUGCAGGAUGUAUGCGAGUCAUCGAAUCUUUGAACGCAUAUUGCGCUCGAGGCUUCGGCCGAGAGCAUGUUUGCCUGAGCGUCACUGGUAUAUUUCGAUUUCCUUCUUUUUUUCUUUCGGGAGAGGAGAGGGUGAAUUCGGACCUGACCUUUUCCCAGUCGGUCGCAAGACCAUCUGGGUGGGUUGAAGAGAAGAGGCGUGAGCGCUUUCUUCCGCGGUUUAGUCUUUUUUCAAGACUAAGCCAUGCGGCGUGGUCAGCAGGUUUCUGCUAUCGAUCGCUGCGACGGAAGUUGUUUGUUCGCUGCCGUAACCCUAUUUCAUUUCUACCUCAUGACCUCAGCUCAAGCAAGACUACCCGCUGAACUUAAGCAUAUCACUAAGCGGAGGAAAAGAAACUAACCAGGAUUCCCCUAGUAACGGCGAGUGAACCGGGAAAAGCCCAACUGAAAAUCCUUCGGGAAUUGUAGUCUACAGAAGCAAUCUCUGUGUCGUCCACGGCCCAAGUUCCCUGGAAAGGGACGCCUGAGAGGGUGAGAGCCCCGUCGGCUGUGUUUCGUCACUCCACGAGAUGCUUUCUCAGAGUCGGGUAGUUUGGGAAUGCUGCCCUAAUUUGGAGGUAAAUUCCUUCUAAGGCUAAAUACUGGCGAGAGACCGAUAGCGAACAAGUACUGUGAAGGAAAGAUGAAAAGCACUUUGAAAAGAGAGUUAAAAGGGCUUGAAAUUGUUGAGGGGGAAGGAAAUGGUUGUCGGUGUGCACUUCAGUUUUAUGUCUAGUUAACGCUAGGAAUCUCAACGUGUUGUGCUGGUCAGCGUGGGUUGGACGGGCGGUAUAAUUUUUGCCGCCUGUUCGACCGAGGUCGGAGGUAACGCUCGAGACGCUGGCGGAAGAUAACCAUUUCACCCGUCUUGAAACACGGACCAAGGAGUCUAACAUGUAUGCGAGUCGGCGGGUGGAAAACCCGUAGGCGUAAGUAACCUAACAGGUGGGAUAUUUGCACCAUCGACCAACCUUGAUCUUUUGUGAAGGGUUUGAGUACGAGCAUACCUGUUGGGACCCGAAAGAUGGUGAACUAUGCGUGA